ACUCUUGUUUCUCUUCAGAUCGUACAAAUCUUUUUCCUUUUACUAAAGAUUUCUGUGGAGAGGAACAAUAAGAGAUUAUCCAAAAAGAGUUUCCCCUUGGGGAUG
ensembl:snRNA U5 U5 spliceosomal RNA